CUACGAAAACUGCACAAUGUGGGAAACCACGAUGCGGGUAUUCCGAGUGACAACGCAUUGCGUUGUCUGUUCUUUCGCCUAAAAAGCGAGAGAAGUAAGGGCCGGGCAAGACCGGUGCCAGCCGCCGCGGUAAUACCGGCGGCUCGAGUGGUGGCCACUAUUACUGGGCUUAAAGCGUUCGUAGCUGGUUUGUUAAGUCUCUGGGGAAAUCUGCCGGCUCAACCGGCAGGCGUUCCAGGGAUACUGGCAGACUAGGGACCGGGAGAGGUGAGGGGUACUCCAGGGGUAGGAGUGAAAUCCUGUAAUCCUUGGGGGACCACCUGUGGCGAAGGCGCCUCACCAGAACGGCUCCGACAGUGAGGGACGAAAGCUGGGGGAGCAAACCGGAUUAGAUACCCGGGUAGUCCCAGCCGUAAACGAUGCGCGUUAGGUGUAUCGGUGACCACGAGUCACCGAGGUGCCGAAGAGAAAUCGUGAAACGUGCCGCCUGGGAAGUACGGUCGCAAGGCUGAAACUUAAAGGAAUUGGCGGGGGAGCACCACAACG
rnacentral:rRNA from 1 species